AGUCGACGGAAAGGCCCUUCGGGGUGCUCGAGUGGCGAACGGGUGAGUAACACGUGGGUGAUCUGCCCUGCACUUUGGGAUAAGCCUGGGAAACUGGGUCUAAUACCGAAUAGGAUCACUGGCUUCAUGGUCGGUGGUGGAAAGCUUUUGCGGUGUGGGAUGGGCCCGCGGCCUAUCAGCUUGUUGGUGGGGUAAUGGCCUACCAAGGCGACGACGGGUAGCCGGCCUGAGAGGGUGACCGGCCACACUGGGACUGAGAUACGGCCCAGACUCCUACGGGAGGCAGCAGUGGGGAAUAUUGCACAAUGGGCGCAAGCCUGAUGCAGCGACGCCGCGUGAGGGAUGACGGCCUUCGGGUUGUAAACCUCUUUCAGCACAGACGAAGCGCAAGUGAUGGUAUGUGCAGAAGAAGGACCGGCCAACUACGUGCCAGCAGCCCGCGGUAAUACGUAGGGUCCGAGCGUUGUCGGAAUUUCUGGGGCGUAAAAGAGCUCGUAAAAUGGGUUGGUCGCGUUGUUCCGUGAAAACCUCACAGCUUAACUGGGGGCGUGGCGGGCGAAUCCGGGCAAAUGGGAUACUGCCAGGGGAGACUGGGAAU
rnacentral:rRNA from 1 species